rnacentral:rRNA from 1 species
CAAUAGCGUAUAUUAAAGUUGUUGCAGUUAAAAAGCUCGUAGUUGGAUUUCUGGUUGAAGCGACCGGUCGGGCGUUGAUUCGUCUGCACUGGAGUCGGUUUUGGCCAUCCUCUAGGAAAGUGCGUCUGGUGUUAAGUUAUCGGGCGUAUGAUCCUGGUCUUUUACUGUGAAAAAAUUAGAGUGUUUAAAGCAGGCCUUCGCCUUGAAUACAUUAGCAUGGAAUAAUAAGAUAGGACUUUGGUCUAUUUUGUUGGUUUGCAGACCGAAGUAAUGAUUAAUAGGGAUAGUUGGGGGUAUUUAUAUUCCGAUGUCAGAGGUGAAAUUCUUAGAUUUUCGGAAGAUAAACUUAUGCGAAAGCAUUUACCAAGGAUGUUUUCAUUAA